CAGCCGCCGCGGUAACACGGAGGGUGCAAGCGUUAAUCGGAAUUACUGGGCGUAAAGCGCACGCAGGCGGUCUGUCAAGUCAGAUGUGAAAUCCCCGGGCUUAACCUGGGAACUGCAUCCAAAACUGGCAAGCUAGAGUACGGUAGAGGGUGGUGGAAUUUCCUGUGUAGCGGUGAAAUGCGUAGAUAUAGGAAGGAACACCAGUGGCGAAGGCGACCACCUGGACUGAUACUGACACUGAGGUGCGAAAGCGUGGGGAGCAAACAGGAUUAGAUACCCCUGUAGUCCCUGUCUCUUAUAC
rnacentral:rRNA from 1 species